rnacentral:rRNA from 1 species
UCAAUGACGGUACCUGACGAGGAAGCCACGGCUAACUACGUGCCAGCAGCCGCGGUAAUACGUAGGUGGCGAGCGUUGUCCGGAAUUAUUGGGCGUAAAGGGAGCGCAGGCGGGAAGGUAAGUCUAUCUUAAAAGUGCGGGGCUCAACCCCGUGAGGGGAUGGAAACUAUCUUUCUUGAGUGCAGGAGAGGAAAGCGGAAUUCCUAGUGUAGCGGUGAAAUGCGUAGAUAUUAGGAGGAACACCAGUGGCGAAGGCGGCUUUCUGGACUGUAACUGACGCUGAGGCUCGAAAGCGUGGGGAGCGAACAGGAUUAGAUACCCUGGUAGUCCACGCCGUAAACGAUGAAUGCUAGGUGUAGGAGGUAUCGACCCCUCCUGUGCCGGAGUUAACGCAAUAAGCAUUCCGCCUGGGGAGUACGGCCGCAAGGCUGCAACUCAAAGGAAUUGACGA